GUGAAUCAUCGAAUCUUUGAACGCAAAUUGCACUCUCUGGUAUUCCGGAAAGUAUGCCUGUUUGAGGGUCAGUUAAAUUAAAAUCGGGGUUGUUGCUACCCGUAGUGGUGUGUGAUGCAGCGGUAGUGAGUCGUUCUUUAGCUUUGGUUUAAGUGACUUAAAAUUAUGUUUGAUUUUUGAACGUAUUUAAAUUAUUACUUACGUUCGUAAUAGCAUAUAUUAGGUGCGGUCAUUCAUAUGAUUUCGCUA
rnacentral:misc_RNA from 1 species